UCGAGAAUUUUUGGCAAUGGGCGAAAGCCUGACCAAGCGAUGCCGCGUGCGGGAUGAAGGCCUUCGGGUUGUAAACCGCUGUCAGUGGGGAGGAAAGCUUUGCGAAGAGCAAGGCUUGACCUAUCCGCAGAGGAAGUGUGGGCUAAGUUCGUGCCAGCAGCCGCGGUAAGACGAACCACACAAACGUUAUUCGGAAUUACUGGGCUUAAAGGGUGCGUAGGCUGCGCAGUAAGUUGGGUGUGAAAUACCUCGGCUCAACCGAGGAACUGCGCCCAAAACUACUGUGCUUGAGGAAGAUAGAGGUAAGCGGAACUUACGGUGGAGCGGUGAAAUGCGUUGAUAUCGUAAGGAACACCUGUGGCGAAAGCGGCUUACUGGGUCUUUUCUGACGCUGAUGCACGAAAGCUAGGGGAGCAAACGGG
rnacentral:rRNA from 1 species